CCCGAGCCAGCCGGCGGGCGUCCCGGAGGCGGCGGCGCAGGGAGGGGCCCAACGCGCCCACGUGCCCCGGCGGCGCCAUGCGACGGAAGCGGCACGGCUGGGGGCGCGGCGUUGGCGGCCCCGCCCCCUGGGCCGGGCAGGUGGCGGCCCAGGACCACGCGUCUACUUUCAGAGCCCCCCCCGGAACCGCAGGAGAGGGCCCAGGUGGCGCGGACGAUGAGGGCCCAGUGAGGCGCCAAGGGAAGGUCACCGUCAAGUAUGACCUCAAGGAACUACGGAAGCGCCUCAACCUAGAGGAGUGGAUCCUGGAGCAGCUUACGCGCCUCUACGACUGCCAGAAGAGGAGAUCCCAGAACUGGAGAUUGAUGUGGAUGAGCUCCUGGACACGGAGAGUGAUGAUGCCCGGGCUGCCAGGGUCAAGGAGCUGCUGGUUGACUGUUACAAACCCACAGAGGCCUUCAUCUCUGGCCUGCUGGACAAGAUCCGGGGCAUGCAGAAGCUGAGCACACCCCAGAAGAAGUGAGGGUCCCCAACCCAGGCGAACGGUGGCUCCCACAGGACAAUGGCUGCCCCCCGACCUCGUAGCAACAGCAAUACCGGGGGACCCUGCCGCCAGGCCUGGUGCCAUAAGCAGGGCUCCUCGUGCCCCUGGCCCAGGGGUCUCUUCCCCUGCCCCCUCAGUUUUCCACUUUUGGGGUUUUUUAUUGUUAUUAAACUGAUGGGACUUU